GUCUUCGUGGUGUGGUGGUCAGCACGCUCGGCACGUAUUCAAGAGGUCCGUAGUUCGAGUCCCGGCGAAGGCA
rnacentral:tRNA from 1 species